AUUGAACGCUGGCGGCGUGCUUAACACAUGCAAGUCGUGCGGUAACAGGCGUAGCAAUACGUGCUGACGAGCGGCGAACGGGUGCGUAAUACAUGGGAAUCUGCCCUUUAGUGGGGAAUAACCCGGCGAAAGCCGGGCUAAUGCCGCAUAAGAUCUUCGGAUGAAAGCGGGGAGUCGUAAGACCUCGCGCUGAUGGAGUGAGCCCACUGUCGGAUUAGUCAGUUGGUGGAGGUAACGGCUCACCAAGGCGACGAUCCGUAGCUGGUCUGAGAGGACGGCCAGCCACACUGGGACUGAGACACGGCCCACGACUCCUACGGGAGGCAGCAGUGGGGAAGUAAUUGGACAAUGGGGAAACCCGUAGAUCCAGCGACGCCGCGUGUGUGAAGAAGGCCU
rnacentral:rRNA from 1 species